CUCGGCCUGUGAUUUUUUUCCCCCCAGCUUGAUCCUGGGUAGGUGCUGGGAGUGGAAGGUGUCCUGAAAUUAGAAACAGGAGUCUGGCCAGAGCAGUUGGCCCCCUUUGAUUUGGACCUAACUCUACGCGGAAGUAGAUUCAUUUAUUCAUUCAACUUUCAGUCUCUGCAUGCAAAAGGUCACCAAGGAGGAGUCAGCAGGACCCAUGGGGAUGAAUUCUGGUGGGCAGAGUGAAAACUGAAGAUUGGCCCGGAGACAGCGCCACUAUUGAGCCUUAACUUUGUUCCAAGGGUGGGCGGAAGGACACAAAGGACCUGGCAUGUGUUACUGUUGACCUAUCUGUUGAAACAGCCAAGCUGAGGGAUCAGGCACCUCCGAGGCUUUUGAAGAAUCUGGCAAAAUAGAUAUGUGCAUGUACCUAUAACUACAAAAUAGAUACAUACCUGUAGCUGGGCUCUCUAAAGUGGGCCAGGACAAAAGCCUAGUAGUCUUUGGAAAAACUCUGAGAGAAGUAAGGGGAGGGGCUUUUUCUGAAUGUAAAGUCACAGAGGCAAAGAGUUCCUGGAUCCCUCAUUAAUAGGUAGGGUGAUACUUAGGGAUCUGGGAAAGAACAACGACAAUCUAUAGACUGCUGAUUUUUUUUCCCCAGUGGUCUGAAUGCAGAAGUUCCUAGGUCCUGCCUGCCUAGGAAGUCCACAGCCAGUGGGUGGAGAGCAGAGAGCUGGAGAGGAAAGCUCCACAUUCACUGCCCUCCUACCCAUGAACGGGGAUGGGUGUGAUGAAUGGAAAUGAACUACUAGGGUAGUCUGACCAUGAUCCAGUCCCACCAGAAAGAGCAAGAAACAUGUUCUAACCAUAGGAAUUUUGCUCCAAGAUGCUCCGAGUCCUUCCUGUUGACUCUAUCAAUAUAUUUUACUUUGGCAGAUCAGGGAUGAAAAUUUUCUGGACUCAGAAUUAUUAAAUGAAUUUUGGUGUCUGAUUGUUCUGGGGGAGGGCCUGCCACCCCCAGACCAGCAAGUUGGUAGUGCAGCUCUGCAAUACUUUGAAAGAUGCUGAAAUCCAGUAUGAGCCUUUCCCCAGACCAGAAUGACAAGCUCUUUGCAUACAGGGAAGUUCCCCAAUCUGUCCCCAUUCUCCACCCUGCAAACAUGUCACAGGAGGACACCUGGAUGAGUUGUGGCAGGCUCCAACGUCUGGUAGCCCAUGAACCGAGGUGAGGGCAAGGUUAGUCAAGAUGAAGGAAUGAGUUCAAGAAACUGGGACACCUGCCCAGGAAGGAAGGCUCUCCCAGAAAGAAAGGGAAGGAAUGAGGCGGUGGCAGCAGGGCUUAACUGCAAGAGCAUGUGAGUCAGGCAGACCUGAUUUCAAACCAUGGCGUUUUUCCUACCACCUGUCAGCAGUCGGGCCUUGGUCACAUUACCACAUCUCUCUAGGUUCCUCCAUCUGUGAAAUGGGAUGAUAAUAUAAUACAAUACUCAUUUCAGAUGGUUGCUGAAAGGAUUAACCUUUUAAAAAUAUACCUAAAAGGACACCCAUAGGCAAAAACAUGAACCAACCUCAACUUCACAUUAUCAAAAAAUUAUCUCAAAAUGGAUCAUUGACUUAAAUGUAAAAUGUAAAACUAUAAAACUUUUAGAAAAAAGAAUAGGUGAAAAUAUUCUGAACCUAGGGUUAGGCAAAAAGUUCUUAGGCUUAACACCAAAAGCAGAACCCACAAAAGGAAGAGUUGAGAAAUUGAACUUACUCAAAAUUAAAAAGUUUCACAGUGUGAGAGAUCCUGGGAUGAGGAUGAAAAGUCAAACUGCAGAUGAAGAGAAAACAUUUGUAAAGCACAUAUUGGACUAAGUGCUAAUUUUCUAGAUAUCUAAGGAACCCUCCAAAUGCAACAGUAAAAACAAACAAACGAAAAAGCUAUCCCAUUAGAAAAUGGAGAAAAGACGUGAACAGACAUUUCAAUGAAGGGGAUAUACAGAUGGUGUGAUAGGGAAGAACAAACCAGACUCCAUAUUAGGUCUGUUUCUUUUACUGUAAUGUUUGUAUUCUGUUGCUUUUGCUUCAAGUUUAGAAUGUUGCCUGUAGACUGAAAUAUACAGGAUAGCCCAUUCUCAAGUCUCUGACGUUUAAGGGUAUAACACUUUUCCAUUCAAAUAGAGAUAAAAAGUGCAGAACAGAGAAUAACAUUUGUCUUGUUGGAUGUUUACAGGAACAUUGUGACCUGACCUAGGUGGACAGCUGCAAGAACAAAGGAUUCCUACACCAAGAAGUGUGCAACAACCAACCAUGCCCCUCGCUCAUCUGGCCUUUAAAAAUGCUUUGCUGCCUAUUUACAAUAGCCAGGACAUGGAAGCAACCUAUGUGUCCAUCGACAGAUGAAUGGAUAAGU